CAGCAGCCGCGGGAAUACGUAGGUGGCAAGCGUUGUCCGGAAUUAUUGGGCGUAAAGCGCGCGCAGGUGGUUUAAUAAGUCUGAUGUGUAUGCCCACGGCUCAACCGUGGAGGGUCAUUGGAAACUGUUAAACUUGAGUGCAGGAGAGAAAAGUGGAAUUCCUAGUGUAGCGGUGAAAUGCGUAGAGAUUAGGAGGAACACCAGUGGCGAAGGCGGCUUUUUGGCCUGUAACUGACACUGAGGCGCGAAAGCGUGGGGAGCAAACAGGAUUAGAUACCCCGGUAGUCCCUGUCUCUUAUAC
rnacentral:rRNA from 1 species